GCCCGGCUGAAAGGAAGGGGUCCCACCGUGGAAGGAGUAGCCACCAAAUCGGAACAGCAAUAGUGACUGGCAGUGAGGAUAUCCAACGAACGAUUCCAAGUCUUUUAGCCAAGACUAUCAAUUGAAAAACAAACAUCAGAGCUGAGGACCCAGUCACAAUCCCGACACUUCCCAUUUGUGCAGAGGUCAGUUUCCAGCUCAAUGUGGGGGAACAUCAGGAGUUGAUUGAGAGAUAUUUUAUCAUGAAGCCCAGAUUAAGUGUUGUCUGCUUAUCCAGAAAGUCUCAGUUAUUACCUGUAAGUAUAUUUCCUCAUACAUUAAUUCUACUAGCAUUAUUACCAGAUAAUCUUCUAAUCUCCAGCUGUUCUAGACCUCUAAACAGGCUGUUGUCAUGUGCCGGACAAACUGCCCUUAUCUCUAAACAAGCUAUUCUGAAGCUCUAGAUAAAGCAGAUUCAAGAUCAGGCUUCGUGGUAUGGACAGGAAGUUUCUUUGAUCAUAAAGCCUAGUGUUACUGUACGAUUCUCUGCAUUAUCAGGUAAGUGUAUGAACUACACUGCGACAAAGUGUCUGCUGACUCUUAUGAACGGGUCCAGUGCGGGGUUUUAUUUUAUUUAUUUAUUUUGCACAAUUCAAACAAUAAAAUUUAAAAUAAAGAAA